GACGAACGCUGGCGGCGUGCUUAACACAUGCAAGUCGAACGGCAAGGCCCUGCUUUUGUGGUGUUCUCGAGUGGCGAACGGGUGAGUAACACGUGAGUAACCUUCCCUUGACUUUGGGAUAACUUCAGGAAACUGGGGCUAAUACCGGAUAGGAGCUCCUGCUGCAUGGUGGGGGUUGGAAAGUUUCGGCGGUUGGGGAUGGACUGGCGGCUUAUCAGCUUGCUGGUGGGGUAGUGGCUUACCAAGGCUUUGACGGAUAUCCGACAUGAGAGGGUGACCAGGCACAAUAGGACUGAGGGAGGGACCAGAGGGCUACGGGAGACAACGGGGGGAAGUAUGACACAGUGAGGCCGAGCGUGAGAAAAAGGCGUUGCGGGCGGAAAGACGGCCUGCGGGGAAAGAAACGCUUUCGCCUGUGACGAAGCGUGAGUGACGGUACUGGAUGAAGAAGCACCGGCUAACUACGUG
rnacentral:rRNA from 1 species